AGUGAACGCUGGCGGUAGGCCUAACACAUGCAAGUCGAACGGCAGCACAGAGGAGCUUGCUCCUUGGGUGGCGAGUGGCGGACGGGUGAGGAAUACAUCGGAAUCUACUCUGUCGUGGGGGAUAACGUAGGGAAACUUACGCUAAUACCGCAUACGACCUACGGGUGAAAGCAGGGGAUCUUCGGACCUUGCGCGAUUGAAUGAGCCGAUGUCGGAUUAGCUAGUUGGCGGGGUAAAGGCCCACCAAGGCGACGAUCCGUAGCUGGUCUGAGAGGAUGAUCAGCGACACUGGAACGGAGACACGGUCCAGACUCCUACGGGAGGCAGCAGUGGGGAAUAUUGGACAAUGGGCGCAAGCCUGAUCCAGCCAUACCGCGUGGGUGAAGAAGGCCUUCGGGUUGUAAAGCCCUUUUGUUGGGAAAGAAAUCCAUCUGGUUAAUACCCGGGUGGGAUGACAGUGCCCAAAGAAUAAGCACCGGCUAACUUCGUGCCAGCCGCCGCCGUAA
rnacentral:rRNA from 1 species